rnacentral:rRNA from 1 species
GACGUAGGGCGCGAGCGUUGUCCGGAUUUAUUGGGCGUAAAGAGCUCGUAGGCGGCUCGUUGCGUCAACCGUGAAAACCCGGGGCUUAACUUCGGGCUUGCGGUUGAUACGGGCGGGCUGGAGUUCGGUAGGGGAGACUGGAAUUCCUGGUGUAGCGGUGAAAUGCGCAGAUAUCAGGAGGAACACCGGUGGCGAAGGCGGGUCUCUGGACAGUUCCUGACACUGAGGCACGAAGGCCAGGGGAGCAAACGGG